rnacentral:rRNA from 1 species
UGGGGAAUAUUGCACAAUGGAGGGAACUCUGAUGCAGCGACGCCGCGUGAACGAAGAAGGCUUUCGAGUCGUAAAGUUCUUUUAUAUGGGAAGAUAAUGACGGUACCAUAAGAAAAAGCCCCGGCUAACUACGUGCCAGCAGCCGCGGUAAUACGUAGGGGGCUAGCGUUGUCCGGAAUCACUGGGCGUAAAGGGUUCGCAGGCGGAAAUGCAAGUCAGGUGUAAAAGGCAGUAGCUUAACUACUGUAAGCAUUUGAAACUGCAUAUCUUGAGAAGAGUAGAGGUAAGUGGAAUUUUUAGUGUAGCGGUGAAAUGCGUAGAUAUUAAAAAGAAUACCGGUGGCGAAGGCGACUUACUGGGCUCAUUCUGACGCUGAGGAACGAAAGCGUGGGUAGCAAAUAGG